AUUCGUGUGAAGAAGUUCGUGAAGCAUACAGAAAAAGAGGCUAGGUGAUCACAAACCCAUAUUUAAUAGAUCAGCUAAUAUAAUCAGGUGGUCAAACCAACUAACACAAUCAGCUAUUAGUUAUCAGUUAACUCAACCAGCUAUCAGCUAUCAGCUAAUUGCCAAACACCUCCAAGGCAGGGAGCAUGUCUCCAAGAGAUCAGUUAUUACGUGAGAGAGCUGCCAUACAUGAAAGUAUUUCUCAUGAAUUUGAACUACUCAUAUAGAUAUGAAGGGCACAGUGACACUGGGAAAAAUAAUCCUUAAUCUGGAUCAAGACAAGUAUCAUUCUGAAGUUGUAAAUGCCCCCAAGACAUUUGGCAUAACUGCAUUAGUAUAUCAGAAUUCUUUUGCUAGCUUCAUUGGUGUUAUUUGUCAUCAUCUUCCUAGCAACAAAGGAAAUUAUAUGUAAA